rfam:Aedes albopictus isolate Foshan contig254444, whole genome shotgun sequence.
CGCGCUACAAUGUGCGCAGCAACGCGUAUCCUUGCCCGAAAGGGCCGGGAAAUCGCUUAAAUGCGCAUGCCGGGAAAGUCGGGCAUAAGGUCACCAGAAAAUCCUCCCGACAACUCCUAUCUCCACCUCCACGCGGUUCCCGGUGGGAUGUUUGUAUCAAAACAUGCAAACGGAGAGGGGGGGGCCAUACGGCCUCGAACGCAAACAAUCUAAGCCUGCUUAGAUUAUCUAGCGCGCGUGCUAGAUCACAGAGGGUAGAGGAAGGAUACAUGAAUUCGGACAGUAUGUCAAUGACCCAACCGAGGAAGUACAUAUGAGCGAUGAUUGAUUGCCCAAAAGGCGAUUCGAUCAAAUAAGGGCGAAACAAAGGAGGUUAAACGAUCACACUAGAAGGGAUAAAAUCCCAAUACAAUCAUGAAAUAAUAAACCAAUAAGUGAUAAUAUCCCAACAUAACAAAAUACAUCCACACUAGCAAGGGAUAACCUCCCGACACAACAUGAUUCACUAAACCAGAUCUACCAACCACGAAGCCCACACAAUGAUCAGGGUUUUUUAGAUCAUACACUGUACUUACCCUAGGCAGCCGUGUAUGUGACUUUUUCCCUACACACCAGUGUCAAAACCUCGCCCAAACUAGAACAUAACAAUGGAUGUGCCAAGACAAUAGAACACUUUUGAAUUACUUUUCGUAUCUCGACCAACCCCCGAAAGGGGGUCCUUGUUAGGGUUUUGGAGGCACAACACACUCCAAGGUGUUGGGUAGUCAGUACCGAUUGCUGGCUGGCCAUGACCGGAGUGACCUUUCAAAUGAUCCAUUCCGACGCGCGCAUUUGAGGGAUUUUACUCCUCAACCUAUCCAAAUAACCCAAUCCCUAUUUCCAUUACCACCUACUAUGAUAAGGGGUCCGUGGUCUGGUAAUUCAUGGGAGCCGUGAAGGAAGACUGGGUAGUGGAGGUGAAGUAACCCGACACCAACACAACGCCCAAGAAACCUAACUAGCUGUCCCCAUGCGUACCAGUCUUCGUAGGCGCCCUCGGCACGGGCCGCAGACAGGGGAGGGUUUUGGCCUAACGCCUCCCUAGGGCGACUCUAAUGAGUUUAAAACAUGCCCCGUGUCGAAACUAAAUGGGUAACCAUUGCAAGGCACGUUAAUACGCUACCGAACUUCCGAACUUAAAUGCGCAUUUAGUCGGGAUUAUGGAUUGAAAUGGUCCAUAUGAACCUGGAAUUCCCAGUAAGUGCUGGUCAUUAGCUAGCGUUGAUUACGUCCCUGCCCUUUGUACACACCGCCCGUCGCUACUACCGAUGGAUUAUUUAGUGAGGUCUUUGAAGGUGAACAUUUGCUAGUCCCUCGGGAUUACAUUUGAAUCGCUGAAGUUGACCGAACUUGAUGAUUUAGAGGAAGUAAAAGUCGUAACAAGGUUUCCGUAGGUGAACCUGCGGAAGUACUGGGG